CACUCAGGACGAACGCUGGCGGCGUGCCUAAUACAUGCAAGUCGAGCGGACAGAUGGGAGCUUGCUCCCUGAUGUUAGCGGCGGACGGGUGAGUAACACGUGGGUAACCUGCCUGUAAGACUGGGAUAACUCCGGGAAACCGGGGCUAAUACCGGAUGCUUGUUUGAACCGCAUGGUUCAAACAUAAAAGGUGGCUUCGGCUACCACUUACAGAUGGACCCGCGGCGCAUUAGCUAGUUGGUGAGGUAAUGGCUCACCAAGGCGACGAUGCGUAGCCGACCUGAGAGGGUGAUCGGCCACACUGGGACUGAGACACGGCCCAGACUCCUACGGGAGGCAGCAGUAGGGAAUCUUCCGCAAUGGACGAAAGUCUGACGGAGCAACGCCGCGUGAGUGAUGAAGGUUUUCGGAUCGUAAAGCUCUGUUGUUAGGGAAGAACAAGUACCGUUCGAAUAGGGCGGUACCUUGACGGUACCUAACCAGAAAGCCACGGCUAACUACGUGCCAGCAGCCGCGGUAAUACGUAGGUGGCAAGCGUUGUCCGGAAUUAUUGGGCGUAAAGGGCUCGCAGGCGGUUUCUUAAGUCUGAUGUGAAAGCCCCCGGCUCAACCGGGGAGGGUCAUUGGAAACUGGGGAACUUGAGUGCAGAAGAGGAGAGUGGAAUUCCACGUGUAGCGGUGAAAUGCGUAGAGAUGUGGAGGAACACCAGUGGCGAAGGCGACUCUCUGGUCUGUAACUGACGCUGAGGAGCGAAAGCGUGGGGAGCGAACAGGAUUAGAUACCCUGGUAGUCCACGCCGUAAACGAUGAGUGCUAAGUGUUAGGGGGUUUCCGCCCCUUAGUGCUGCAGCUAACGCAUUAAGCACUCCGCCUGGGGAGUACGGUCGCAAGACUGAAACUCAAAGGAAUUGACGGGGGCCCGCACAAGCGGUGGAGCAUGUGGUUUAAUUCGAAGCAACGCGAAGAACCUUACCAGGUCUUGACAUCCUCUGACAAUCCUAGAGAUAGGACGUCCCCUUCGGGGGCAGAGUGACAGGUGGUGCAUGGUUGUCGUCAGCUCGUGUCGUGAGAUGUUGGGUUAAGUCCCGCAACGAGCGCAACCCUUGAUCUUAGUUGCCAGCAUUCAGUUGGGCACUCUAAGGUGACUGCCGGUGACAAACCGGAGGAAGGUGGGGAUGACGUCAAAUCAUCAUGCCCCUUAUGACCUGGGCUACACACGUGCUACAAUGGACAGAACAAAGGGCAGCGAAACCGCGAGGUUAAGCCAAUCCCACAAAUCUGUUCUCAGUUCGGAUCGCAGUCUGCAACUCGACUGCGUGAAGCUGGAAUCGCUAGUAAUCGCGGAUCAGCAU
rnacentral:rRNA from 1 species